rnacentral:rRNA from 1 species
AUGGUGCCCGACGGAGGCGUGAAGGACCAGGAGGCCUCCACCUCGAGCUCGCCGUCUCCACCGGCUGCCGCGAUAACGAUGGCUGCGCGGCCGCCUAGGCCAGUGAGGUUUAAGAAGAUCGCCAGGUGGCACCCGCUGAAGUACCACCGGUUCCGCGUGUGGGCCACCAAGACGAUGGUCGACGCAUCAUCGUCCGCUUGGGCGGCAAGGGGAGCCGGGGAUGUGACCACGGCGGUGGCGACGGCGCCCAAGGAGAGUGAGCAGGAGGACGGGAAGGAGCACAUAUGCGGCGGCUGGAAGAGUGAGGAUGGAAGCUUGCAUUGCGGAUAUUCUAGCUUCAGAGGGAGAAGAGCAAGUAUGGAAGACUUCUACGACAUGAAAUCAUCUAAAAUAGAUGCUAAACAUAUAAACCUCUUUGGAGUAUUUGAUGGACAUGGUGGUUCAUGUGCCGCUGAGUAUCUCAAGGAGCACUUAUUUGAAAAUCUCUUGAAACAUCCAGCUUUCAUUAGUGAUACAAAAACAGCAAUAAGUGAGAGCUAUACGAAGACUGACUCAGAUUUCUUGGAUGCUGAAACCAAUAUUCAUAGAGAGGACGGGUCAACUGCAUCAACCGCAAUUUUGAUUGGCAACCAUCUUUAUGUGGCAAAUGUUGGUGAUUCACGGGCUGUAAUAUCGAAGGCGGGCAAAGCUAUUGCGCUCUCGGAUGAUCACAAACCAGACAGAAGUGAUGAGCGGGAACGGAUUGAGAAUGCUGGAGGAGUUGUUACAUUUAGUGGAACAUGGAGGGUAGGUGGUGUACUUGCAAUGUCUCGGUCAUUUGGAGAUCGUUUGUUGAAGCGGUUUGUUGUUGCAGAGCCUGAGAUUCAGGAACAAGAAAUAGAUGAUGAAUUGGAGUAUCUGAUUUUGGCUAGUGAUGGCCUGUGGGACGUGGUGUCAAAUGAGCACGCCGUUGCAUUUGUGAAUGACGAGAUGGGCCCUGAAGCUGCAGCCCGGAAGUUGACAGAGAUCGCUUUUGCACGUGGGAGCACCGAUAAUAUAACAUGCGAGUCCCGCUUCGUAACUUAUACACCGGGGAGUUUAAUUGGGCCGGCCCACUUGCGGUGCCAUGCGGAUGAAAAAUGGCGAAAAACGAUCGCACAAGCUGGGAAUCGAACCCACGACCACUCAAAAGAUUAA